UCCUUAACACAUGCAAGUCGAACGGAGAACUCAAUGAGCUUGCUUUGAGAGUUCUUAGUGGCGGACGGGUGAGUAACGCGUGGGUAACCUACCCAUUAACCCGGGACAACCCUUGGAAACGAGGGCUAAUACCGGAUACGCUUGAUUGAGGGCAUCCUCGAACAAGGAAAGGUGGCCUCUGAAGAUGCUACCGAUAAUGGAUGGAUCCGCGUCUGAUUAGCUAGUUGGUGGGGUAAAGGCCUACCAAGGCGACGAUCAGUAGCCGGCCUGAGAGGGUGAACGGCCACACUGGGACUGAGACACGGCCCAGACUCCUACGGGAGGCAGCAGUGGGGAAUCUUCCGCAAUGGACGAAAGUCUGACGGAGCAACGCCGCGUGUAUGACGAAGGCCUUCGGGUUGUAAAGCACUGUCUUUAGGGACGAACGGUAUCUAUGUGAAUAAUGUAGGUACAUGACGGUACCUAAGGAGGAAGCCCCGGCUAACUACGUGCCAGCAGCCGCGGUAAUACGUAGGGGGCGAGCGUUGUCCGGAAUCAUUGGCCGUAAAGGGCGCGCAGGCGGAUAAUUAAUUCUGGUGUGAAAACUUGCGGCUCAACCCCAAGCCUGCAUCGGAAACUGGAUAUCUUGAGGACAGGAGAGGGAAGGGGAAUUCCACGUGUAGCGGUGAAUGCUUAGAGAUNUUGGAGGAACUCCAGUGG
rnacentral:rRNA from 1 species